rnacentral:rRNA from 1 species
UACGUAGGGUGCAAGCGUUGUCCGGAAUUAUUGGGCGUAAAGAGCUCGUAGGCGGUCUGUUGCGUCGGCUGUGAAAACCCGGGGCUCAACCCCGGGCCUGCAGCCGAUACGGGCAGACUAGAGUUCGGCAGGGGAGACUGGAAUUCCUGGUGUAGCGGUGAAAUGCGCAGAUAUCAGGAGGAACACCGGUGGCGAAGGCGGGUCUCUGGGCCGAUACUGACGCUGAGGAGCGAAAGCGUGGGAGCGAACAGG